AGCCUUUGUGCUGCCCAUUCACCUUUUGUCACUAGUGAAAGUGGUGUCAAAAGAGGCAUAAGUUAAUGCUUGCAGCCUUUUCUUACCCUGGAGUUUGGUAUCUUGGAAGUAGGAGCUGCCUAAGUAGCAGAA
ensembl:snoRNA